GAGUUUGAUCGUGGCUCAGAUUGAGCGCUGGCGGCAUGCCUUACACAUGCAAGUCGAACAGCAGCAUGAUCCAGCUUGCUAGAUUGAUGGCGAGUGGCGAACGGUGAGUAAUACAUCGGAACGUGCCCUGUAGUGGGGGAUAACUAGUCGAAAGAUUAGCUAAUACCGCAUACGACCUGAGGGUGAAAGUGGGGACCGCAAGGCCUCAUGCUAUAGGAGCGGCCGAUGUCUGAUUAGCUAGUUGGUGGGGUAAAGGCCCACCAAGGCGACGAUCAGUAGCUGGUCUGAGAGGACGAUCAGCCACACUGGGACUGAGACACGGCCCAGACUCCUACGGGAGGCAGCAGUGGGGAAUUUUGGACAAUGGGCGAAAGCCUGAUCCAGCAAUGCCGCGUGUGUGAAGAAGGCC
rnacentral:rRNA from 1 species